CGUCAAAGUCAUAGAAAAAACUCGCCGUCAUUCUACUCGGCCAAUGAUGCAUACCUUCUCAUAUGGUGACCGGCGUAGCGCUAGGAACACAACCCUUUCCAUCCAUCAUUCAUAAACCAAUACCCCCUCCAAAACCCUAGCUGACAUCCAAACCCCGAUUCCUGUUAUUCAAAACAACUACUUUCAAGGGCUAAUCACCAAACGAUCGAUCACAUAUAGAGAACCCAUUUGAUUUGCAGCAUUGGUGGCUCCGAAGAAGCCAAGGAGCUGUGAAAGAAGUGGUCGUUGCUUUAGGCCGCUGCCAGAACGGUGCAGAAAGCGAAAAAAAAAAAAAAAAAUGUUGCUGUUGCAGCUCUAGCGUCUUAGAAGCUUCACCAGCAAUGUAGCAGACUUCUGUGCAUCUCCCCAUCGCAGAUUCAGGGCUCUGCUAUCUUUCGUAUGUGUUUGAUAUUGAUAUGUCCACUAAGCAGAAAGGAAAGAGGAACUUUUUAUUGAAAAACAAACAUGAGAAGCUAAAAGCAGGAGCUAAGGCCAUAUGGGACCCGAAAGCCACAAAAAUAUUUAUUGAGUUGUGCAAGUCUGAGGUUUUAGCAGGAAAUCAGCAUGGUAAUCAUUUGCGCAAUCCUGUUUGGAAAACUUUAGCUCCCAAGUUCAACGAGCUCACGGGAAAAGAAUAUGAACAAAAUCAACUAAAAAACAAGUGGGACAGUUUGCGAAAGGAUUGGCUAUUAUGGAAGACUUUGAUUAGUUGUGCAACUGGGUUAGGGUUUGAUUAUGCCAAGGGCCCGGAGGCUGAUGAUGAUUGGUGGGAAGCUAGAUUGAAGGUGGUGCCAAAUGCUGUGAAGUUCCGAAAGACUGGAGCUCCAAUGCAGUUGGAUGAUUUGGAGAUCAUGUUUAAGCACACAGUGGCUAAUGGUGAAUCUGUUUCAGCAUUCAAUUUGGAUGUGCUUCCUGAGGAAGAAAAUGUUUCAAGAAAGAAUGAUCCUCAAUUGGCAGAGGGUGGUGGAGACUCUAAAGAAGGAGAUAACAUUAGUUUAGAAAAACUUACUGCUGGGACCAUCAAAUGUGCAAGAAUUGAACGAGAGAAUGAAGGGAUGCAAGAGGAAACUGAUAACGAGUUUAAUAGUCAGAAAGAAAAGGAGAGAAACACCAUAGGAGGAGCAGCUAAGUUCUCGAGGCAACUAGAUCACAUAAUGGAAGUGAAGGAGGGAAGGUCUUCAGCUAAAAGUUCAGCUACCUCAAUGAUGACUAAUCUGCCAGGAUCUAGCAUUGCUGACGUAAUGGAGUUGAUGGAGAACAUACCUGAUAUUGAGCCUGGCAGCGAGCUUUAUAUGUUAGGCACUCGUUUGUUCAUGAAAUCAGAAAAUAGGGAAAUGUUUGUGGCCUUGAAAAGACCGCAUGUCCGAUUAGUAUGGCUCAAGCAAGAACUUGCUAGAGAGGGUCAAAAUAAUACCGUUGCCUAGGAUGCGUGUGGCUCAGAUGCAGAUUCAUGUGAAUUAUGGCAAGGAUGAUGAUGAAAAAUUGUUUGCUGUAGCAUUGGCAGGGUAAACCGCGGCCAUUUCAUAUUAUGAAGAAUGCAUCCACAAGGAAACAAGCAGAGCAUCUAUGUUGAGAGCUGUUUAUGCGAGGGGAAGGGCAGUCAACUGUGAAACCAAAAUCAAGGCUUAUAAUAAUCAGCUUAGUGGAUUAAUUCCAACCUCCCCCAGCUAGCCCCUAGGCAAGUCAAAAACUGUUCUUUUACCUGAUCGUAGAUGGAGGGAUAGGCAGUUUGCAGGAUUACAGAACUACUCAGACCAAUGUUACCUGGGGAAAAUCUCGAGCUUAUCAAUUGAAUGCGGAGAAAAAGAGAUCUUCACCAUGCAUGUACUAGCAAAGGCAGGCGUUAAGAGUGGAUGCUCUUUGUUUGGAUGAUGUGGAAAGCCAAGCCCUCUCAUGCUCCUUGGUUUCUACCCAUUGACAGGAGGCAUUUACAGAUAGAUUCAAUGCCCAUUCGGAACUGCUCUUAAAUUGAAGGGAUUUUGCUGUUUAAAAUUAGGGGUUUAGACUUCUGCUUUUUUGACAAGAACAGCUUUUGAGAACAGGGUAGAACUUCGUCCAACUCAAGGUCGCUACCUCAAAGUGUCCUAAAUGCAUAGAGUAAUAUGUCUGUUCAUGAGACUGACGAUUGGGGGUAGGGUUCGUUCGCACACAAGCUAAGGUCUCUCGCUGAACCAAAUUCUCAACUCUCU